UCUAAACAAGGCCGUAUUUUCGUGCACAAGGAAAUGCGUAUCACAGUCCACAGACCAGUGCGAUGCCACAUGGGCGGGUCCCGUCACUGGGCACAAUGAUCGCACAUGAAUAUGACCACUCAACUAGCCAGAAAGGAAAUUUGUUGCCCACACAGGUAUUUCAUCUGGCUACGAAUAUUGGGAAAUUUGUUGCCCACACAGGAAUUUCAUCUCACUAAGAACAUAAAGUAAAAAAAAUAUUACAAUAGCUGUUCACAAAUGUAAUGUAACUCGAUAU
rnacentral:lncRNA from 1 species